CGGGUGAGUAAUGUAUGGGGAUCUGCCUGAUGGCGGGGGAGUAACUACUGGAAACGGUAGCUAAUACCGCAUAAUGUCUGCGGACCAAAGAGGGGGACCCCCGGGCCUCGCGCCAUCAGAUGAACCCAUAUGGGAUUAGCUUGUAGGUAAGGUAACGGCUUACCUAGGCGACGAUCCCUAGCUGGUCUGAGAGGAUGAUCAGCCACACUGGGACUGAGACACGGCCCAG
rnacentral:rRNA from 1 species